rnacentral:rRNA from 1 species
UACGUAGGGGGCAAGCGUUGUCCGGAUUUAUUGGGCGUAAAGAGCGUGUAGGCGGCCGUACAGGUCAGCUGUGAAAACUCGAGGCUCAACCUCGAGACGUCGGUUGAAACCGUACGGCUAGAGUCCGGAAGAGGAGAGUGGAAUUCCCGGUGUAGCGGUGAAAUGCGCAGAUAUCGGGAAGAACACCCGUGGCGAAGGCGGCUCUCUGGGACGGUACUGACGCUGAGACGCGAAAGCGUGGUGAGCGAACAGG